GUCCAGACUCCUACGGGAGGCAGCAGUGAGGAAUAUUGGUCAAUGGCCGCAGGGCUGAACCAGCCAAGUCGCGUGAGGGAUGACGGUCCUAUGGAUUGUAAACCUCUUUUGUCAGGGAGCAAAGGGCGCCACGUGUGGCGUUUUGCGAGUACCUGAAGAAAAAGCAUCGGCUAACUCCGUGCCAGCAGCCGCGGUAAUACGGAGGAUGCGAGCGUUAUCCGGAUUUAUUGGGUUUAAAGGGUGCGUAGGCGGAACAUUAAGUCAGCGGUAAAAUCGAGGGGCUCAACCCCUUUAAGCCGUUGAAACUGGCAGUCUCGAGUUGGAGAGAAGUAUGCGGAAUGCGCGGUGUAGCGGUGAAAUGCAUAGAUAUCGCGCAGAACUCCGAUUGCGAAGGCAGCAUGCCGGCUCCACACUGACGCUGAGGCACGAAAGCGUGGGUAUCGAACAGGAUUAGAUACCCGGGUA
rnacentral:rRNA from 1 species